CCCACGUAUCUAAUCUGUAGAAAAUCUGUACAAAACCCCCUGUACACAUGUCAUUUCCCUUUUACAAUAUGUCAUCCAUAUUUGAACAACAUGCCAUGUCAGACCUAUCUACAUUAUUAAAUUUUUCCCCCCUUUAAACGCUAAUGGCAUGUUUGGUAAGGUAAACCCAGACAAUAUUGACCAAGAAAAUAAAGCUACAAUCUUGUCAAUUAAACUAUCCAAUUCUAUCCGGUACUAUCUAUCAAAUAUGCUAUAAUAUGAUAUAUUCAAUACGCACAAUAGAACCCUCAAAUCAUUCAAACAUCUUACAUAUACAGUGAUGGAAAUGGAUUGCCUGCAAUCCGAAAGGUUGUUCCAGUCGAGCACUUCAUGUAACUGCUCAGAAAAACACAGCUAAAUUACAGGAAAUCCAAGAAAAGGUUAUAUCCAGGCAGCAUCUUCUAGGUACAUGUACUUGGGAGCUUGCCAUCUCUAAACACUGAAGUAACACCAAAUGCAGCAGGAGAGGGAGAAGAGGCAAUGUAGUUCGUUCCUGAUACAAAUACUGUGGAAGGAUUUGAAGAAUGUCACUGCCGCCCAAUACCAACAGCUCCCAGAAAUCAAUGGAAGUAAGUGAAUACACUUCACAUCUCAAGGAUCCAAUUUAAUAGCAUUGAUAAUGGAAAAACCUUGGCCAGAAAUUCACAAAUCUCAAUAAAGGGAAUUGUAUUUGUUUGGGAGUCCUUUCUAAUUUCCAUGCAAUCUGAAUUAGAUAACUAAAUUAAGAAAGAUGAGAUAUUUCUUACCCCAUUGAAACCAUUAUAAAAUCUAUCAAAAAUAUUUCGAUAUUAAGAGCCAGUUGAGUCACACUUGAGAAGAGUGGCUUUUGUCUGAAUAUCCUUAAAAUAACCUUGACAUUAAAAUCCAAAAUGAUAGCUUAGUCUCCUUCUUGUUUCUUUGAUAUAAAAAAUAAAAGAAACUUAAUGAUAGAAGGGCGUAUAUUUGUGAAGUACAAGGAGUACUGAAUUAUAGAAAUAAGAAGUACUCGCGUUCUUCAAUUGUAAUCUGCAAGACAUCAUACUCUCAAUAUGACCAGAUGAUGAACCUCAGUAUUUUAUUUUUUUGGGACACACAUCCCAGAUGGCCUUCUUUAUCUCAUUAGAUGAGGAAAGAUUAAUUUUUAGAUCAUAAACAAACUAAAUGAAACGUAUUGAUUAUAUAAAAUGCUCAACCUGUUGCCGUUGCCAAUAUCAAUCAAUAUAACAAUAUACACAGGAAGGUGGUUUGAGAAUAUUCAACCUAUGACUAGUUCAAAACGCCUAUGGUGUCUUCUUGUGGUUCUAGAUAUUAAACAUGCAAUUAAGAAAAUGUAACAUCAAGAAAUAUAUCGUGCCAAAAUUAUCCAUUUACAUUCACAUGAACAUUUGAUACAAUUUCCAACAUAUGCCAAGGCAGCUUUCCCAAUAUGCACGUCAGCCCUGACCUGUUAUCAUUUCAAGAACUGGAAGACUUGCAAAUAUCCACAAACCUUGUUAAAAUUAGCUAAAACCCCCCAAAGCAAGACAAAUAUUAUUGGUUAUUUCCAAUAACAGAAAGGAGUUCAAAAUGUAUUAGAAAAUAUGGAGGCAACUUCAUGAAGUAUGUGUUGGGAAUCUACUUAUACAUGCACAGCAAAAAAUUAAAAUUAUUUCGAUUCCCAUCGAGGAUUCCUUUGUGUUUAGAUAGAAAUCGUGAUAAAGAUUGUACCUUUGACGAAUUUUGACAACCUUUUGCUUUUCUUUUCGUUCCAACAAUCUUGAUUCGCCACCCACAAUUAUCCAAUUGUCCAGCCUCCAACGGUGAUCAACACAGAGAAUAAGAUUGCAG
rnacentral:lncRNA from 1 species